GACGAACGCUGGCGGCGUGCUUAACACAUGCAAGUCGAACGGAAAGGCCCUGCUUUUGUGCGGUGCUCGAUUGGCGAACGUGUGAGGAACACGUGAGUAACCUGCCCUUGACUUUGGGAUAACUUCAGGAAACUGAAGCUAAUACCGUAUAGGAGCUCCUGCUGCAUGGUGGGGGUUGGAAAGUUUCGGCGGUUGGGGAUGGACUCGCGGCUUAUCAGCUUGUUGGUGGGGUAGUGGCUUACCAAGGCUUUGACGGGUAGCCGGCCUGAGAGGGUGACCGGCAACAUUGGGACUGAGAUACGGCCCAGACUCGUACGGGAGGCAGCAGUGGGGAAUAUUGCACAAUGGGAGGAAGCCUGAUGCAGCAACGCCGCGUGCGGGAUGACGGCCUUCGGGUUGUAAAACGCUUCCGCCUGUGACGAAGCGUGAGUGACGGUAAUGGGUAAAGAAGCACCGGCUAACUACGUG
rnacentral:rRNA from 1 species